UACGUAGGGUGCAAGCGUUAUCCAGAUUUACUGGGCGUAGAGCGCACGCAGGCGGAUGAUUAAGUCAGCUGUGGAAGCUCCCGGCUCAACUGGGAAGGGUCGGCUGAAACUGGUCGUCUGGAGGGCAACAGAGGAGUGUAGAAUUGCGGGUGUAGUGGUGAAAUGCGUAGAUAUCCGCAGGAAUACCAGUGGCGAAGGCGGCACUCUGGGUUGUACCUGACGCUGAUGUGCGAAGGCUAGGGGAGCGAACAGG
rnacentral:rRNA from 1 species